rnacentral:lncRNA from 1 species
UGGGCCCCACCCAGCGCCCUCUUCUGCAUGGCGGCUCUAAGUCCCGGGUCAGAAGUAAAGACGACUUUGCUCGACUUCGCUCGACACUACAAAGUCUCCCCCAGAUACCAGAAGUCGUGCUCUCACUUGGAUAUCUUGGACAAAAGGACCCCUAAGCUCAUUUGGGAUACAUCUUGGGUACCACAUGUCAGGUCAGGGGAAGUGAACCAGAAUGUCCAAAGCAGCAAGAGCACUAACACUACCAGAUUCCUAGGGCCAGGGUGAGUUGGUUCCAGAGGGCCCAAGCUUCCUGGACCUUAGGACGUGUUCCUUUUUCUUUAUCCCUCCUCCCUCCUAGAUCAAUGUCCAACUGCUGUCCUCCUCCUACCCGCGGCUUUGUAACUAGCAAAUGGCCCUGUCCAUUGCACAGGACUACUGAGCCCUUCAUGGAAUGCCACCCCAGAACCUUCUGGAAGGGGUAUGAAGAACUGAUGAAUCUUCCCAUAAGUGGAGUUCACACAAGAUGUUGGGACCAAAGAACCGGGAAGAGUGAGGCUGGGCAAGCCAGAGGGCUUCUUCCUCUCAUACCCUGAGCAAUGAGGGAUGUCAGAUUGUAUGAGAGAGGAGGCCACUCUCACAUGCUAGCUAUGUGCGACCUUUCCUAGAGUGAGGGACUUGAAUAAAGUAAUGGAUUUUCAGAAGUCUCGAGGGAGGUGAUGAUAUGGUCUGAGGAGAUAGCUGAGUGGGUAGAGAGACCCCACCGAGCUGAGUCUGGAUUCCCAGCACCCACAUUAGAAAGCUGGGCACAGGCUCACCAACGUGACUGCUCAAACAUGAACCAAAGUAGUCAGGAGACAGACCAGGAGGCCUCAGCCCUGUACAAGAACUACAGGCGACUCGGGGAUUCUGAGCGGGAGAACAGGCUUUCCCCAAGGAAGAGCAUGCUGAUUUGUUAUUCUGUACCAAUGGUCAGUCCCGGAAAAUACAUACAAGUAACACUCUACAGAUGGAGCAGGUUGUAUUUAGAAAUGUCUAUACAUAUAUGAAUAUAACAGCAAUGAAAAAAGAGGGGAUGAAUUUGAAAGAGGGCAAGGAGAGGUAUAUAGGAAGGUUUGGAGGGAGGAAAGAAAAGGGAGAGAUGAUAUAAUUAUACUAUAAACUCAAAAGUAAAAAUAAAAC